rnacentral:lncRNA from 1 species
GGGCUGAACAUUUGAAAAGAUUACCAUCCAUGCAUUGUCCCUUUCCACAUCGGCAAAGGCAAAUCUAUAGAGUUUUCUAUGGAACAUGGCUAGUUAAAAUUGAUGUAAAACUAUUUCAAAACACAUGGUUUAACGAUUUCACUUCAGUAUAUUAACAGGAAGGAAGUAUCAGAUUAUUAUGACAACUGGAUCCCCUCUCAAUUUAGGCCUGGUAAAUUGCGAUUCAUCUGAGAACC